GUGGGCGUAGCUCAGGUGGUAGAGCUCCUGGUUGUGGUCCAGGCGGUCGGGGGUUCGAGUCCCCUCGCUCACC
rnacentral:tRNA from 1 species